UACGUAGGGUGCGAGCGUUGUCCGGAAUUAUUGGGCGUAAAGGGCUCGUAGGCGGUUUGUCGCGUCGGGAGUGAAAACACCGGGCUUAACUCGGUGCUUGCUUUCGAUACGGGCAGACUAGGGGCAUGCAGGGGAGAACGGAAUUCCUGGUGUAGCGGUGAAAUGCGCAGAUAUCAGGAGGAACACCGGUGGCGAAGGCGGUUCUCUGGGCAUGUCCUGACGCUGAGGAGCGAAAGUGUGGGGAGCGAACAGG
rnacentral:rRNA from 1 species